AACAAUCAGUCAUACCAGUUCAUUUAACAAAAAAAGAAAAAUAAUAGCUACAUCAGAAAGCGAUAUAAUAAUUAAAAAAAACCUUAAGAUUAAUUUUGGUGACAUAUUUAGUUACAGUUACAUAUUUAAGAGACUCAAAAUAACAUUUCAAUUAGAAACCUAAAGAUGGGGGUUGAAUUAAGAAAUUUAGCUACAUGAAUAUGAAAUUUCCCUAAUAAAAUAAAAAAAGUUAACAAUAGUGCAUACAUCAUUGGCCUACAUUCAAAAUAAGUGAAAAAUAGGCGAAAUAGCAUUAAUCAUUGAAUUUGCAUUAUUUUUUGCUAUUACACACUGUUCAUAUAUUCCAUUUUCAUAUUUGACAUUCUUUCAUUUAACACAUAAAUGCAACUGCUAGAGGGCAGCUGUACUGCUUGAGAGACAUGACGACCGGCAACACAAGACACUCUCACUUGGUGGCAAUAAUGUUCCGCCUGGCUGCAAUUCGCCAUUAAAAAGAAGAAGAAAGACUCUUAGCCACAGUACUACUAACCGAACUGCUGCAAUCAGAGCAGAGAGCAGAACUGAGCAGUUCACACCACAGCUGAAGUUAUUUGGUCUAUCUUGUAAGUAGCUGUGUUUUGUCUUGUCAUGUAUUCAUUAUGUAUCUACAUUAUUUGUUAUUAUGUGCAGGAACCGUGCCAUUUUUAGCGGUUAGCAGUGUACAGUAAGCUAUAGUGUGGCUAACUUAACAUGCUACCUAGAAAGCACAUGUGCUGGCAUAAUAUUCAUGCACAUUUCACAGCAGCAGACGGUGUGUAUUCAAGUUGCAUCUGUUUCUGUAUUUCCUAAAACUAGUGCAGUUGCCGUUCAAAACGUGCCUGUUAGCAUUAGCUGCUAAUACUCAAUACUGCACUUCCUUGGGUCCUCAGCGGACAAAUGGAAAUCAAACGACAUACAGAAAGAAAGAUAGAGAUUCCUUAAGUUAUAGUAUGAUGAUAUGUUUUAAAUUUACAUUUGUUGAUUCGAAUUUCACUUGUGUUCACAGACCUGACAUACUUGAAUUGAGAGCUCCAAACUUUUGUCUGCAGAGAACUUUCUUGGGUCCUAUGAACUUAACUCCCCUUGGGGUUUUUUUAUUUUUAUCUUUUUCAUUUGUUUAUCAUGUUUUAAUAUGUUGAGUUGUUUAAAAUGUUUCCUGAAAUUUUUGUAAUACAUUCUUUGUAUUUAAUUUGUUUGGAUGGAUUGACAUUUAUUAUCAGAACAUGUUAUAUUUGAAUAAAAAAAAUCCUUUAGCCAUUAUUUUGAUGUCUGUUAGACGUAUAUAUGUAAUCGUUCAAUAGCUGUCUAAUUGAUGGCUAGCUAUACUUGGGUUAUGGUUAGAUGUCUACUAAACUUUCACUGACAGUCCAAAUUUAGCUGUAUUUUAGCCUAGUCGGAGGAUAGACGGCAAUUAGACGAAUGUUAGACAAUUCCCUCCGUAGCCCAGUUGGUAGCUAUAGCAUUUGUUACCGUUCCCAUUCGCUGCACAAGGGAAUGUGUUCAGUGCACAUUCAGCAGAGCAGGUGGUGCCAGGUAUAAUGCCGUGGGGCUCUCAGCCACCACACCAGACUUCAUGGUCUCGGGUGUAUGGAAGGCAGCAGGGUGCAGAAUUUGCAGCCUCUGGUAAUGGUGUAAAACAUCCACCACAGCGUCAACAAGGGUACCAGCCACGCUGUUAUCCUAUGGGGGCACCCCAGAAGAAGCAUCCCCCAAGGAUUCAGGACCUCAGCAGAAUAUCACAGCUGGGAAAAGGGUGUUUCAGACCCUUACGUUCUAGCUACUGUGGCAAAUGGUCCAGUUUCAGCUGCAUCCCCCUCCCUUGUUCAGGGUCCAUAUGACUGUGAUUAAGACCAGGCUGAAGAGAUUUUAACCGUCCUGCAGAAGGAGGCGAUCAAGAGAUUAGGCUCCAGCUAACAGCUUGCUGGGAUUUACUCCACAUAUUUUCUCGUUCCGAAAAAAUAUGGUGCCCUGCGUCCCAUCUUAGUUAAGAUGACUAAACACUUUCAUAAAGGUGCUGCCUUUCAAGAUGUUGACCACCAGACAUAUCUUGGAGUCCAUAGAGAAAGGGGAGUGGUUCACUUCCCUAGAUCUAGAAGACGCAUACUUUCAUGUACCCAUCUGCCCAGACCACAGACCGUUUCUGCGGUUUGCUUUCCAGGGGCAGGCCUAUCGGCCUCUUCUUCCUCUCAGCUGCUGGACAAAGAAGGGAUGGCUUGGAGUCCUCCGGUCCCUAGUGACUCUGAUUGUACUAGUUAUCCAAGAAUUUCCUGAGGUGUUCCAAGCAAAAGGAGGGGGCAUGUUCACCCAGAUGCUCUUAUAGACGGCAAGCCGAGCCUCUUGAGGUAUUUCUGCCUCCGGAGCUGCAGAGACUGGAUCUGUGG